rnacentral:rRNA from 1 species
GAUGAACGCUGGCGGCGUGCCUAAUACAUGCAAGUCGAGCGAACGGACGAGAAGCUUGCUUCUCUGAUGUUAGCGGCGGACGAGUGAGUAACACGUGGAUAACCUCCCUAUAAGACUGGGAUAACUUCGGGAACCCGGAGCUAAUACCGGAUAAUAUUUUGAACCGCAUGGUUCAAAAGUGAAAGACGGUCUUGCUGUCACUUCUAGAUGUAUCCGCGCUGCAUUAGCUAGUUGGUAAGGUAACGGCUUACCAAGGCAACGAUGCAUAGCCGACCUGAGAGAGUGAUCGGCCACACUGGAACAGAGACACGGUCCAGACUCCUACGGGAGGCAGCAGUAGGGAAUCUUCCGCAAUGGGCGAAAGCCUGACGGAGCAACGGCGCGUGAGUGAUGAAGGCCUUCGGAUCGUAAAACUCUGUUAUUAGGGAAGAACAUAUGUGUAAGUAACUGUGCACAUCUUGACGGUACCUAAUCAGAAAGCCACGGCUAACUACGUG